rnacentral:lncRNA from 1 species
ACCGUGCACUUUAUUCAUAGAAAAUACCAAAAACUAGUACAUUAUCCGAGGUAUUCAACCCUGAAAACACACAUCCAAAAUCAACAAGAAAAUACAUCACAGUAGCAAACGGAUAACGGUACAUCCCUCAAUACUCCUCCUCAUCCCCUUCGUCUCCUUCACCAGACUCAGCGCCAACUUCUUCAUAAUCUUUUUCCAGGGCAGCGAGAUCUUCACGUGCCUCGGAAAACUCUCCUUCCUCCAUGCCCUCACCAACAUACCAGUGCACAAAUGCACGCUUGGCAUACAUGAGAUCAAAUUUAUGAUCAAUGCGGGAAAACACUUCCGCAACGCUGGUUGAGUUGGAGAUCAUGCAGACAGCUCUCUGAACCUUGGCAAGGUCCCCUCCUGGAACAACAGUUGGUGGCUGGUAGUUGAUACCGCACUUGAAUCCAGUAGGGCACCAAUCCACAAAUUGGAUUGUGCGUUUGGUCUUGAUGGUGGCCACAGCCGCAUUCACAUCUUUGGGCACAACAUCUCCUCGGUACAUAAGGCAGCAAGCCAUGUACUUCCCAUGGCGUGGGUCACAUUUGGCCAUCAUUGAAGAGGGUUCAAAAGCACUGUUGGUUAUCUCAGCCACCGAUAGCUGCUCAUGGUAAGCCUUCUCAGCUGAAAUGACAGGGGCAUAAGAAGAAAGCAUAAAGUGGAUCCUGGGAUAUGGGACCAGGUUAGUCUGGAACUCAGUCACAUCCACAUUCAGGGCUCCAUCAAACCUCAAAGAUGCGGUAAGAGAUGAGAUAACCUGAAUCAUACAUGCCAAAACACCACAUGUAUGAACAACAAUCAUUAAAUUUCAUAACAUAAAGACGAGUAUUUUAGUAAAAAUGCUUAUAGUUACCUGAGAGACAAGGCGGUUAAGAUUCGUAUAAGUGGGUCGUUCAAUGUCCAAAGAACGCCUGCAGAUGUCAUAUAUUGCUUCGUUAUCGAGAAGAACAGCGACAUCAGUGUGCUCAAGGAGUGAAUGAGUGGACAGCACACUGUUGUAAGGCUCUACAACUGAUGUAGAAACCUGAGGUGAAGGAUAGACGGUGAAACCAAGCUUCGACUUCUUUCCAUAGUCAACAGAGAGACGCUCCAAGAGAAGAGAUCCAAGACCAGAACCAGUACCACCACCAACAGCAUUGAAAACCAAGAAGCCUUGGAGCCCAGUACAGUUAUCAGCAAGCUUUCGGAUACGAUCCAAGCAGAGAUCAACAAUCUCUUUGCCAAUUGUAUAAUGGCCACGAGCGAAAUUGUUGGCAGCAUCUUCUUUGCCACUGAUGAGUUGCUCAGGGUGGAAUAACUGGCGGUACGUACCAGUCCUCACUUCAUCGAUAACAGUAGGCUCCAGAUCAACAAAGAUGGCGCGAGGGACGUGCUUCCCGGCACCAGUUUCGCUGAAAAAGGUGUUGAAAGCAUCGUCUCCUCCACCAACAGUCUUAUCACUUGGCAUUUGGCCAUCAGGCUGAAAAUCGAAAAUUCUAAAAGAUCACCACCAUUAUCCACAUUCAAAACCUUAGAUCUCGCCUAAAUUAUCUAUAGAACUGAAAUCGUUCAGCUAACAUUUCAAUUAAUCCAGAUCUAUCCAUUUUUAACGAGUCCGAUCACAAUUUACAACAACAGAAACACAAUUAAUAAAUUUAAACAUAGUCAAACCAAAUCACAAUGUUAAAAUAAUUAAAAAGGGAAAAAAAAUGAAUCUAACAGCAAAAUAAAUGAAAUAUACAAAUCGGAAAAAAAAUACCUGAAUGCCAUGCUCGAGACAGUAAAGUUCCCAGCAAGCAUUUCCGACCUGAAUACCGGCCUGACCGAUGUGAACUGAAAUGCACUCUCUCAUAUUUCUUUUCCUAGGAAAUUAUACGAAAAUUGAAGGGAAAAUUUGUUUGAAAAAUAAAAUAAAUGGGGGCGUGUAUCAAGACGCCUUCCGGAAUAUGAGAUCUGAGGUAUUGUUUAAACUAGCAGGGGUUUAUAUAGGGAGGAAAAAAGGUUCGAAAAACAAAAAAACAUUUGAGGUUGGAAAAACCAGGGUUAGUUAACCGCGGUUAAUGAUGACAGCGAGGAGAGGUUCGGCUUGUCGUUAUUUUUAAGCCAGUACCUGCCUGGCUGGCUGGCUUUCCUCUAACUACCUACUAAUUAAUUUUACUUUUAAAGGGUUGAUUUUUCUUUUAGUUAUUUUGAAAAAAGAAAAUUUAUAAAAUUUAGCUAUUAAAUUACUGGUUUAUAUCUGCAUGGGUGAGACAAAAAUAUAAAUAUAUAUUUUUUAUCUUUAAAAUAAAUUAUAGAUUUUAAAUAAAAUUAUGUAUUUUAUUGUAUUUUUUAAAAUUUGUUUUUUAUGAUCAUUAAAUGUAAAGUAAAAAUGCCUAAAAAUGAUUAACUGAUUGAUCUAUUAAAAGAGAUUCUUUUAUAAGAGAAAAAAGGUUUAGUUUUUGUUUUUCAGAAUAAGAUUUAAAAAAUACCUCUUUUUUUUUUUGUAAAAUGAAAAUAUUGAAUAUUUUUCUGAUAUUUUUUAAGAAUGAAUUUUUUUUAUUACAUUUUAUAUUUAUAUUAAAAAUUGAACAUAUUUUAGUAAUUUACAUAAUCUAGUUUGUCACGUGAGGUUGAUAGUUUUUUUAAGGAAGUAUCUUUUUGCAUGUUUUUAUGAAGUGAUUUAAGUUAUUUUAUUCAAAAAUAUUAUAUGAAAGAGUUUUUAAAACAAUAAUACUCUUGUAAUGAUAUUUAUAAUAUUAGUUAUUAAAAAAUUGAUUUAAAGUGUUUUUGUCUGAAUUAUUGCUGAUAAUUCAUAAGGAAUUUUUUAUAUAGAAAAGAUUUAAGUAUUGCGGGGAGAACUAAAUUAUGUUUAUUUGAGUAUAAUGAAAAGGGGCUGGUGAGUGGAUGGGCUAUCACAAGAAGAGUGGAUUUUACGUUUCUAUCAGUGGGCCCCGAAUCUGAUAGAAUGGACCAAUGAAUUUCACCUCUUACCUGUUUUCAAAUCAAUUUCUGUACCUAUACGCUGCACUCCUAUCUAAAACUAGUAUGUUUUUCCUUAUUUAUAUGUAUAAUAUUAUAAAAUUAAAAUGUUAAACCUAUUUUACCUCUCUUUACUUUUAAUUUCGAAAAUCUACCUCAUCUAUUUUCAAUUUUAUAUUAAAUUCUUCUUACAUGUGAUAUUUGGAAAUUUAAAAAAAAUUAUUGGAUAGUCAUAUAACAAUAAAAAUAGCAUUUAAAAUGUGUAUAUAGAUUAUUUUCCCUUAAAAACAUUCACUCAAACUUGUUAUUUUAAAAUAAUUUUUUUUUUGGAAUAAUGUUCCUACAAAAUAUUGACCUUGACAUUUAAAUUAAAAUAGUUAACAAUAUUAAGUAUUUAAAUUAAUUAAUGGUAUUACAAAAAUAGAAUGACCAAAUUGCAUUCAAAAUUAAACCUCAAAAUUGAGCAUAGCAUAGGGAUCAAAUUAAAAUUUGACCUUUUAUGUAUAACCUGAAAAUAGAGGGAUCAGAAUUGAAAUUUAACCAUUAUUAACAUAAUGUGAAAAAUAAAAUUGUAAAAAAAAAAAAAGAAAAAGAAAAAAGCCAUGAAUGGCUGGAACAUUUGUCAAAGAAAGACCCUCCUUUUUUUUUUAAUGACAUAUCAUGUUGUCAUGUUAACAAUACUAAAGCUUUGAAACUCUUAAUCCAAUUCGAAUAUCUGUCUAAAUCAACUGUCAAUAGUUUGAAGGUUUCGACAAAAGAGAUGAUAAUCUAAUAAAGGCUAUUUUAUCUGUCUAAAUCAAGACAUGGAGAAAGUGCUGUUCAGCAUUAACUCAUUAAUUCCAGGAUCCCCGACUUGAAAUAUCUGUUCUUUUUGAGGCUAAACGCAGCUUACUGAAAUUUCAAAUUCAAUCCUCCACAAACAGAACCAACCUACCAAUUUGACUUUUCAUAAAUGUCAUAAACAGAAGCCCUACUCUGAGUCUGACUAUUUCUAUUUGGUCCCUUGGACAAAAAUGCAGGCCGAGCAAACUCCAUAAACAAACAUGGAAAAAACGACAGACAAUCAUCAUUUCUUCAAAGUUCUGCCGGAUUUUUCUCUAAAGAAAAUGUAUGUCCUGUCCUACAUACGAAAAUGUUAUCCUAAAUACACGCACUACUGGAAGAAACCCAUGCAUUUGAAUAAGUAACAAAACCGAGCUUCAAGACAACAGGAAAGAUCGUAAACAAGUCAAGACUGAAUUGAUGCAUGAAAGAAAAUGGUGGAAGGCAUUAGAAAAAGGUACUACAGAGUCACAUCAUUGUACUUGGUUAGACUUGAUGACAGGACAUGAAUCGUGCUUGUAGCGAAAAACCAUGUAGGUCAUAUUUAAAUGAGGUUUUUAAUUCUACAAAGAAUGAUCUCAAACAAACUUCGUUACGAAAAUAGAUGUAGAAUUGGAUUCUGAGGAAGUAAUCAUCUGUAAUAGCAUCCAAAGAAAAUAUUAUGGCAUCAUAUUGUGUACAUGUGUAAUUGGCAAAGAGACACUCAUGCCACAAGAAUGAGAACUUAAGACUAUCAAGCAGAUGAAGGCUGCAAAAGAAACAAUAUAAGCAGAAAUUGAAUCAUUGAAACCUGGAUAAAAGCAAUCUAAAUAAUAUGAGAAAGCUAUAAAAUAUUUGCAUGAACACGGGUACGAACUAGCCUUUGAGUAAAGGAGUACAAUAUUGGAGCAAGCUACUUCUCAAAGUGAAAGAAUAGCAAGUUUGGAAGACCGACUACCUCACAAGCGGUUAGAUGCAGAGAUAUCGAAAGGUACAUGUAUUAAGUAACAUUCAGCAGUAUAUCAAAACUUGAGGAACUACAAAGUAAUUAGCCAAUAGGAGAUAUUAAAGACAGAAAGGACCAGGCCUAUUGGCUAGGUGAAUUUUUAAUGGGACUACUGUAGCUUUACUUUGAUUAGGUAGACAGGAAACAAUAUGCGUAUAUCUAUAUUUUGAUCAACAGAAAGCAAUUGCAAUCAUGAUUUUAACAUAAAGUAGGAUGGGGACACAAAAAGCAUAUCAUAUAACAGAAUCCAUGGAUCUAAGUAAAGAACUAUUCUCUAUCAGCAGGCAUGGUUCGCCAAGCCUUUUGUCAUCAGAUUUUCUAGUAAAGCCUGCACUAAAAAUUGAUUUACUGAACCAUUGUUCCACAUGGUUAAUACAAGAACAAAUAAGAUCAGAAAGAGAUAUCUAAGUCCAAGCUAUAGUACAGACUACGAAUGAAGAACGCAUUCAGUAAUUGCAAUGCGUACACUUGUUCAGAAGAUUUUCAGGGAACCUAGGUAAGUUCUUUUAUACCAAAUGUCAACUGUCUGUGCACAAGGAAAGAGUAAGUGGCACAUUAGACAGUAAAAGGCGGAGUUCACACUGAUGACAUAUAGCAAACAGAGCUGAACUGCCUGAACAUGUAAUGUUUAAUACAAUAUACCAAGGAAAGGAUAGCCAAAUUUUAAAUUACACAUAUAUCGGGAAUAUUGAUUAAAUUAACUCAUGUCAGCUGCAGAAAUCAACCAAUCCAUACUUUAUCUCAUCAUUAUUCACUUAAGAUGUUAACAUGCAGUGGGAGGAAGUUUACUUAAAUAUCACCAUUGCUGUCACUUAUAAAGUAAUUCUUGAAAAGUAAAACCACAAGACACUCAAAUUUCAAAACCCCAACAAUGCAUCAAUGUAAAAUCAACACAGAAAAGUCAAUCACAGUAGCGUUCUCAAACCUCAUAAUUGACAAAUCAAUUGUUUCCCUGUUUCACUAAUAAAAAACUCCAAGCUUGUUACAUGCAUGGACCACAAACAAAUGAAAUGAUUCUUUUCCAGUACUCUUCUGCAAUUGGCUUUCAAGGGACCAUUAUAAUACUAAAUAUGGAAACAAUUUUCUAAAUGCCAUUAAAGGCAAAAUGGAAUCAUUCCAUUAGAAUGAAAUCAAAUGCAGCAAUGAAAUUAGAGAUAGAAAACAAUUUCUAAAUGUCAUUAAAGGCAAAUGGAACCAUUCCAUCCUCAGGUGGCUUCUGUAUUUCAAAUACCAACAUCAGAAUCACCUACAUUUCCUACCACACUUCAUCUACCAAGCAAAUAGUGAAAAAUAAAAUAUGAGAUACAUGAAAAAAAAUGUGGGCAUAACCAGAAAUAGAGUAACUAUAUCUCUAUAUUUAUAGAAGCAAAGUCAAUAUACGGAAAACAGGGGAAAACUUACAUCAUCACCAUCACGGUCAGUAAAUAUAUUAAAAACAAAGUAUCUUUGAGAAAUAAAUGAUAAUAACAAUACGAAGAAAAAUGCUUCACAAACCCCACCGUCUUCUUCCUCGGUGCAUUUCAACAGAUGAUUACGAAUGCCCAUAGUUGAUGAUGAUGAACUGUAAGCUCCUCCUCCACCUUUAAAAUCUCAUAAGAAAAGAAAAACAAGAGAAAAACGCCAGAAAAAAAAAGACUAAACUAAAAAAGGUCGUAAGAUUUUACUUUUAGCAAGAAAAAAAACUAUAUAUGAAAAUAUUUAUAUUUGCCUGGCUCCAUCCUGUCUGCCUUUUUGCAAGCAAUAAGGGAAGGGGAGUUGUUUUACACAGGGAGGAACAGAGCUACAUUGUACUCUCUCUCCUGUGAAUUCACAAAAAUAACCUCCGAUUUACAAUGGUGUGGAGAGGAUACACCUCUUGAAGACCAAGGGUCGCUUGGUCAUUGAACCCCCCUCUAUAGCCAUUACAGUGACAGAUUUUAAGGUUUUGCCGCUGGGUUUAUGGUCAAGCCCCUUAAAAAAAGAAGCAAAGAAAGCUGAUUACUAUUUUCUGAGGUUAUAUUUUUUUCCAGAGAGAAACGUGGAAAGGGGAGGAAGAUAAAAAUGAGGUUUAUGUCUAAAAUGGGAAUUGCAAACAAGUUAUAUAAUAUAUUAUUAAUUUUUGUGGGAUUUAAAGAAAAGGCCGGUGAAAAGCCAUUUUCAACUUUAGCUUUGUUCCGUUUCUGGUAAGACUCGCUCCAUUUUUGUCUCUCCAAUUUCUUUGCCUCUUUUUCUCUCUCUUUUUUUUUUUUUUUGGGUGUUCUAACUUCGCCUCUAGUUCUUAUAUAGCAAUAUUUCUUUAACUUUUAUUUUUUUAUAAAUUUGUUUAAAAACCUCUUUUACUACUAAAACUUAUGAUCUCCUACCCUAACCCUAACGAUAAUAUAAAUGUUAAUUAAAUUAAAUAUAUAUUUUUAAAUACACGAAUUUCUCUCUUGGGGCAUAAAACGCAUGAAAUUCAAUCAUCAAAAACUCAUUAUCUUCCCAUAUCACUUAUUCUACCUGCUUUCUAACAAAAGAGAGAUAAGAGGAUUAGUAAAGAUAGAAUGAUUGAAGUAUUUUAUUUUAUUAUUAAUUAUUUGUUAAUUUUAAAGAGGAAAAAAAAUUUUAAAAAAGGGGCAUGAAUUUUGUAGGAAUUUAAAACACAGGCUGAAUGUGUGACUUAUUAUUAUAUUAUUUUACGUUUGUCUAAAAAUUAGAGGAGAAAAAUAUCAACUGCUAUACGAAUUCUAUAUAGUUAAUACAAUACUGCAAUUAAUUUGAUACAUUCAAAUACUUGUGUUAUUACAUUUGAGAUUAAACAUAAAAAUAUAGUUAAUUUAGAGUUAUACCAAUUUUUUCUCAACUUAUAUUUAUAUUUUAAUAUAUAUGAUUAAUUCAAAAAAUAUAAAAAACCAAUAAUCCAUAAAAGGAAAAAAAACCAAGGUUAUAAAAAAAAUUAUUUUAACUCUUUAUUUAUUUGUUUUUGCUCUUUUUAAUUUUUAAAUUUAUAUUUUUUUGUCAAAUCACUCUAAAAUAGAUAGAAUUGAUGUGGCAUACAUGAAGACUGUCACGUAGAUUACACGUUGGCAUUCAAUUAAUUUUUAUAAAUUUUAAUAAUUUUAAUGCUUUUUAGUUUUUAAAAAUAAUUUUUUUAUAUUUUUUAAAAUUUUUAAAUUUUAAAAAUUAAUUAAAUACUGAUGUGCCAUCCGUGUGUAUGCAGUGUCGAAAUAGUUUAAAAAGACAUUAAUUUUUCUUUUUAUUUUAGGGUGACUUGAUAAAAAACAUAAAUUUAAAAAGUGAAAAAAAAGUGAAAAAUUAAAUUAAUCUUUUUAUAGGAAAAAAAUUAAUCCUGAAUGCAUUGGUUUGCAAGAGACAAAACAGGAGAAACCUGUGGGGCCAACAAAAGAUCCCUACAAAUUUGUCAGGUUGAUUUUGUUAUUUGUAGUUUUGUCGCUAACAGCAUCAUAGGUAUGAAACUAUAAAAAGUUUAUUUUUUAAUCUUUUUAAGGAAACUAUUUGUAUUGUUGUAAUUAUAUUUUAAUUUUUCAUUUUAUGAUUACUAAUAUAAAUUGGAAUCACAUAUAAUAGAAUAUUUUUAAAAAAAAUGAAACUCAUUAAUCCCAAUUAUCGCUGUAAUUCCCUGAUAUUUCAAUUUUUUGAGAAUUACUUAAUUUAGUGAGAUUCAUUAAUUGUAAUUUAAAAUAUAUGAGUUUGAUUCUGUGUAUUAAUAAAAAUAUUAUUUUAUAAGAUAAUGAAAAAUAUUUUAUCACCUCCUUAAAAAAUAUUGUAUUAGGAUUUUUUUGAAUUUUGAAUUUUUAAUAUGAAAAGCAAUAUUUCAUAAAAUAGUAAGGAAAAUAUUAUAAUUUUUUUAACAAAUUAUCAUUUUUUGGAAAGAAAAAAAAAAGACAUUGUAUUAAUUUUUUAUUAAAUAAAAAUUGAAGUGAAUUUACUAAACUUAAUGGAUUGAAAUUCUAAAACUUUUAAAACUCGAUUGCAAAAUAUUGUAAAAAAACUACAAAAAAAAAAGAGGAAAAGGUUACAAAAAAGAAACCUUUUUUCUAUGUUUUUUUUUUCCUUUUGUUCCUUUAACUGUUGGUGGUAGAGGUGUCCGUAAGCCGGGCUAGGUUCGGGUCGAGCUCAACAAAAACAUUGGGCCUGUUUGUUAGGCUCGGCCUGAGAAAUGGGCUUGAAAUUUUGCCUCAAGCCCGACCCACCCAUAUUAAUUUUUUAUAUUAUUAUUUUAUAUAAUUCCUUUUUAAAAAAUAUAAUACAUCAAAAAUAUAAAAAAACAUUUAAAUAAAUAUUUUCCAACAAAUUAAAAAUAAAUUAAAAAAUAUGUAUACUUAAAUAACACUAAGAUAAAUGUAACUUAACAAACGAAUGUGAAAAAUAAUAACAAAAUUAACAAUAAAAUAAGAGUUAUACAAUAUUCAAAUAAUAACAACAAAUAGUAGCAACAUGAUUGUGAAAUGGUAGCAAAAUAAUAAUAAUAAAGAAGAAAAUAGCAAGAAAAUAAUAAAAAUAGCAAUAAAAAGUAAUAAAAAAAUAGGAGGUUUUUUUUUUGUUUUCAUAUUCGGGUCGGGCUCAGGCUAAAAAGCCUUACACAAGGGCCGACCUGUUUUCUAAAUGGGCCUUAUUUUUAGCCUAAACCCAUUUUUCGGGCCUAUAUUUUUACUCAAACACUCCCAUUUUUGGGUGGGCCUUUGUGCCGGGUGGCCCGGCCCAUGGACAAGUCUAGGGGUGAGCGUUCGAUCAAAUCGAGUGAAAAAGUUUCGAGUUCACAAGUCAUAUUUUAUUAUCCUAACUCUAUUUGAAUUUAUUUCAAAUCAAGUUAAAUUAAAAAAAAUAAACAUGUCAAAUAAAAAAAUUGUUAUAGUAUAACUAAUUUUAUGUUAGAGCAUAUAAAUUUGAGACCAUAUAUAUUUGAAAUAUUUUUCAAAGCAAAAUAAUAAUAAAAAUAAGAUACUUCAGUAUAAUACAUUUGAAUCAUUAAUUAGGUCCCAAAACUAUUAUUUUAGAAAAUUUUAAAAUUUUAAAAUUUUAUAAAUAUUUUUAAUUUUAAAAAUUAUAUUAAAUAUUUAAAAAUUAUUUUGUAAUUAUUGUUAAGAGAGAGACCAAUUUAUUUAUUUUCAAAGUUGACAGUGACCAAAAGAGUAUUUACAUCAAUUUGUUAUUCAAAAUAUUCAAGUUAUUUGAAUUGUGAAAUUCAACUCGACUUGAACUCGAAUUGAGUUAUUCGAGUUGACUUGAAUAACUCGAAAUUUAAUUUUUUUUUUUAUUUUUUCAAAUCAAAUUGAGUUUUGCUCAUCCCUAAUUAGGGGCAAGUGAUGACCUCACCAGUCACCCUAGUGACACCAAUGUAGCAAUACUCUUUGACCAACUACACAACAAUUAAAAUUGUCACGUCUCAUAUUGGCUACUCUCAAAUUAUAAGAUAAAACAAUACUUGCAACAGAGAAUGAGGGGUUAGCAAUUGGAAUUUUUAGGGGAAAAAACCCAAUAAUUUGUUCUCAGCUAACCCAUUGUCAGAUCUUUGUAUACUAUCUAUCAUUCUAUUGGAAAAAUUCAGUUAGAAAAAAGUUUUGUUGCACAAUGAUUUUUUUCUAAAACCGAGCAAUUAUGUUAUUUAUGGCAAUAAACCUGUAACACCCCUUAACCCCGAACCGUCGCCGGAAUAGAAUUACGAGGCAUUACCGGACGUAUCGAACGAUUUACAACAAUUCUUAAAUAAAUAACCAAUAUAUUAAAAUAAUUCAUAAAAUUUAUUAGUUUGUUUACCAAAUGACUUCAUUUUUUUUUUAUAAAAAUUUCGGCAGCAUUUCUGCUUAUUUUUACAUAAAACCCCCUGCAAAUUAAAACCAUAUAGUUCCCAAAUAUCACCAAUUCAACCAAUUCAUUUCACAUUCACAUUUUCUAUUCUAAAUACUUCUAAUCAAACUCAAUCUACACAAUAUCAAUUUAAAAUUUAACAAUGUACUAAUUAGAUAAAAUAGAUAGACUUCUUUCAUUAAAAUCCAUAAACUUUUAAUACUAACAUUUUUAACCAUUAUAUAUUAAAACAUAAUAACCUUUAUACACAAUCUAUGUACAUGCCACCUUUACCAAAGGAAAAAUACAUCACCAAGUUUUGCCGAAGCCGGGAUUAAUCUGGAUGCUGAACCGGGACCUUUGACUUCUAUCGACCUGCGCACGGAAACAAUCGUACGCUGAGUAAUUCAUACUCAGUGGUAUUACCAUAAUUCAAAUUAUAACAAUAAUGUACAUGUAAUGCAUAAAUCGUAUAUACAAUUUAAAUUCAAUAUUUCAACAAUAGCAAUUCAUCAACCAAUAUCGUAUAUCCACAAUUUGAGUUUGAAUAAAUCACGAACCUUAGGUUCAUUUCUCAAUCUCAUUUCACAUUUCAAUUCACAAUUCAACUUUUUCAUAUCAUUUCAAUAGCUCGUUUGACCAACUCGUUUGGUUUAUCAUUUCAUCAUUUACCCUAUUAACAAAACUCGGACUUUGGCGGAUACACGGAUCCAACCAAACACACCAGAAUGGCACCCAGUGCCUCAUCGGAUAGUUCGAAGCAAUAGUUGACACCCAGUGUCUCAUCGGCAAAGCCGAAGAAAGUUGGUACCCAGUACCUCAUCGAAUCUAUCCGAAGAAAUAUAGUGACACCCAGUGUCUCAUCGACUCGAGGUCGAAGUAUCCCUGAACUCUUCCAAUCCUAUGGCAUGCCAACUAUAUCCGACUCAGCCCGACUAGUUAAUAGGGUAUUUAAAUCACAUAUAUUCUCAAUUCAAUCACAAUUUCUCACACUUUCAAUUCAAUCAUUUUUCCACCUUCAAUCAAUAAUUAUUUCACAAAUUCACACAUUUUCACAACUCAAUACAUUUCCAUACAAUUUAAUACCAUUCACAAUUCGAUUCAAAUUCAUUUCCCGCUUUCAAUCAACAAACAAUUCAAAUAUUAAUUCAUAUAAACUAUUCAAUUUAAUUCCCACUCAUAAUAAUAAUAAUACUAAUAAUAAAUUAAUACUAAUAUUAUACUUACCUCACAUUUCAUUUACUAGACACAUAAAUUAAAAUUUAGCAUUUAAUAAUAAAUAACUUGAAUUAUAGUAAUACAAACCGUUAUUCUCCCGUUUUAGUCCUCGAUAACUUUCUCCUUUCCUUUUGACGCCGAUGCCUCGGGUUCUUUGUUAGCUACGAAAAUAAUAAUUUGUAAUAUUAAUUACAACACUAAUUAUAAUAAAUAAUUGAAUUUCUAUUCAAUUUCUUCCUAAUUCUCAAUUUAAUCCUAACUAAAUUCACUUACUUUCCUAAUUCAAUUCACACUCUAUUUCUAUUCAAAUUUCAUCCAAACUAAAAUUUAACUAUCAAAAUUUCAGCAUAUUUUGCUAAUUUUGAAUUUCCCUCAAUUUAGUCCCUAAAACAUAAAACUUAUAGUUUCUUUUACAAUUUAAUCCCUUUUUCAAUUCUAACUUAAAAUUCCUUCAAGUUAAUCCCUAAUUCAUCUCUUUUGUUCAACAUAAACUAUACUUGAAAACCUAUGAACUUACAAAAUAUCAACUUAAUUCCAUCAAAACUUUGUUUUAAAGCUUUUAAAACAUUAGAAUUAAGAGAAAAGGGCUAAUUUGACUUACCAAUCAAAGCUUUAAACCUUAAACCUUCAAUUUUUCCUUUUUCUUUCUUUUUUCUUCUUUCUCCCCUGUUUCUUCUCUGUUUCGUCUUUGGCUAUUCUGAUUCUCUCUUCUUUUGUUUCUUUUAUUCUUUUAUUUUAACUUACUUUAUUUUAUUUCCUUUAUUUUAUUUCUUUUGUUUUCUUUUAUUUAAUUACUUUAAUAUAAUAAUUAAAACAAAUAUCUAUUUAGUAAUUAAGUAUAAGUAUUACAAAUGUAUGUAUUUUAUUAAUACACUUGUAUUAAAUAUCACCAUACAUUUGUCUUUAUUUAAUUUAUUUCUUAAUAUAAUAUUUAUAAUAUAAUUAAUUUAAUAAUAUCCUUUAUAAUUAAUUUAUAUAUUUAUAUAAAUAAAUAAUAUAAAAAUCUAAGAUUUUUACAAUGUUAUGCCGCCUCAACUUCCAAAUGUGGCUUAAUUGCCCAUUUGGUCCCUCUUAUUUUCUUUUGAUCUAUAAUUAAACAUUUACCCUUUAUUCAAUUUAAUCCUUUUUCCUAAUUAUUCUUAAUUAGAUUAAAUUCAUCUAUCUAAAACUUAAUUAAACACACAACUAGUCUCGUAAAUAUUUCUAAUAAUUAUUUUCGGACUCAAUUUACUAAGACGGAGGCCCGAUAUUAUACUUUUUCGAUGCCCGUGAAUUUUGGGUCAUUACAUCCAUUUACCAAAUUUGUACGUGUUAUGGAAUAGGCAGUUUGAGUCAUUUCUCGGCUUUUUACCAACACAAUAUUUUCUGCUCUUAUCGAACAUCGGCUUACUUAGAGUACAAGCUCUAAUUUAUGAAUCGAUGAACACAAUGAAAACCUUAUGGAUGUUCUAGUAGAGAAGAUCGAUAAUUCUCUAUGGGCUAAAAACCACAAGCAAAACUCUCUCAAAACUAGAAUUUAUUUCACUAAAAAUUGACAGAGUGUUAAUGCUUAGUAUUGUAUAUUUGACCUAGUCCAUAAUCUUUAUUUUUAGAGAAAAUCACAAAAGUUUUAGUUAAACACGAGAAGUAAAAUAAUAAUAUUUUAAUCAAAAAACACAUAUCCCUACUAGAAUAAUAAGGUGGGUAGCGGCACCCACAUUGCCUUCGAGAACCCUGUGUGUUGCCCAUCCCAUGUAUUAUGGGCCUACUGAGCCUUUUUCAUGUAUCAAGUACAAUUAAAUAGUUCUUUUUAGUUUUUUCAAUCAAUCCGUAUAAUUUUAUCAAACCAAUAACUUGUUUUAUAUUCUCAAAAUGUUAUUUAUUUACUUUAAAUAAAUUCUGAUUCCAUUAAAAUAAUGACGAUUUUAUCAUACUAGAAUAUAUGAAAAAAUAAAUUUAAUCAUUUUGUUCAAUAAAACUACAAUUAUUAAUUAAGUUAAUUUCUACUUUGAACUUCAAUUAUUUAAUUAUAAUCAAUUAAAUAAUAAUUCGAAAAAAUUAAUUAAUCUCCAAGUUCUCUCUUGCUUAUACUGAUAAAACACAUUCAAUGCGAAUAGUGAUACAUAAAAUCUUUUUUUUUAAUUAUUCAUUUUCAUUUAUUCGUCUCAUUGAUUCAAGCGUAAACCAUCAAGAUUAUACCGAGAUAACAAAAAGCACUAAUAGAACAUAUAUAAUUAAUGUUAAAAUAAUUUAUAAUCAUGUUUGAUCCAUGUUUUUCGUGAAGGAAACUGUUGGGCCGAUGCUCUUGCAAGAAUGGCCAAUAAUUCUAGUUUGCUAAAUAACUUUAACUAGCCCCUUAACUACAGGAGGUCAGGAUACAUGGGUUCUUAUUAGCUUGCUAAAUAAUUCUAGUUUGCUAAAUAACUUUAACUAGCCCCUUAACUACUCACCUGAGUUUGGAUAUGGGAAACAUGGAGCCUUGCGGAAAAAAGUUUAUAAAGGGAACUGGGUUCUUAUUAGUGAAUGGAAAUGAGUCAAUGACCAACAAACAAAACAACAUAAUUAAUGCAAUUCUUUCAAAAAAUUGCAUGGAAAACCAGACAUGAUAGGAAUGAACAAGGUAAGGUUUCUUCUUCUAAAGAUAAAAAACAAAAAGGCAUGCUAGCGAAUGCAAACAUAGAUAUCAGAGGUUCUUCGACAUCAGAAACCAUAGUUCGAGAUUGGUAGUAAGACUGCAAAACAAGUCCAGAAUCAUGCAAGAAAAAGAGAAUUUUUCACGGAGCAAACGUCAAGGUAACCAAAUCAUUUAAGGCCUUAAUGCAAGAGCAGUGGUGUCUGCUCCUAGCCUGGUUGACUUAAAAAGAUCUGCAAACUGAGAUGAUUCACCUGAGAAGAAGAUGAUGAUACAUAUGAUUGAUGAUUCAAACAGAGUUCAUCAAGAACAACACCAAUCAAUUGAAUAUAAAGAGAAGCCAACACUAUAAUAUAAUCUGGGACAUGAAGUUUUAACUACUUUGAUGCCUGUUUCAACCCUUGUGCUCAGCGAUAGGGUGUAUAUAGCAUGCCACAGUUUAUUCAUUUGUAAGCAGAAACAAAGUCAUAUGAUAUGAUAGCAAACCUGCUAUUAUUUGCAGACCUCUACAGCGAAAUGAAGCAAACAAAGUUUUCUUAUGACAUUGAAUAGUUGAAAUCAAAUCCCCAAAUGGGAUUCUAAAGAUUAGCUCAAACAGUAAUAGUUCAAUUGAAGUUGAUAAAGAAAAUUUUAAGAAAACACAUUCUAGCACCACAAAUCAGAUUUCAAAAUGUUCAUAUAGGGUACUUUCUCAGGCUUCAUCAUACAAUGGAAUAUCUAUGAUCUUCCAAAGUGAGAUCCAGUAAAAUGGUCAGACAGAUUGGCGUUACUGCUUCUUCUCUUCUGCUUUCCUUGGCUGAAGAAAAAGGGGAAAAAACCAUGUAUAUAUAAAAAUUUAGUGUAUAUAUUUGGAGAGAUUAAACAAAAUAACAGCACAAAAUAAAAACAAAAGACAAAUACUUGGAAUAACUAUUUAUCAUUAGGUUUGAUAUCCUUAAGGUUAUCAUUUUAAGCAAACAGAAUAUUAAUAGAGUCAAAGUCAGACCACAUUAUGUGAUAAUUCCACAACUUACCAAGACAUACCAAUUAUUCGACAAAAUGCCUCUACCAACAAAACAUAAAGAGCAACAAUUGGAAACCAACCCAGAAGAGAAAAGUGCCCAAACCUUGGUUCCAGGAAAGGAUUGGUGAAGUUCCUCCUCGGGUAUAAUAACGGGCCACUUCUCGCCUGCUUCACGGAACAUUUGCUCAGUCUCAAGCAUCUGACCUUUCUCGAGGAUCAUGGUCCUAAUGGUUUGAGCAGGAGUGGAAGUGGCAUCAAAAGCUUCUUCCACUCCGUUGACGAAAGUAACGGUGAUUUGGGGCGGGUGAUCGUCGGUUCGGCGCUUGACCUGAAGUUGGCAGGCGGGGUUGGACUCUUUAGCUUUGCGGGCGUUGCACUGGGCUAAGAAUUCCAUGCAUGAAGCUAUGCGUGGGUCCAAUGCAUUGAACUCGAUCUUCACUUUGGAUAGAAACUUCAACAUCUUCUUCCAAAGUCGGAUUGUUUGCUGUUAGGAGUUUUGGUUCAGCCAACUCGCUUCUAAUUUCCACAGAACAUCCAUUUGAGUCAUUUACUCCCAAUUAGAGGUCUUCGUGGCCGGGCCAGUCCUUAACAUAAUUUUAGGCCCAAAUGAUAUGCCUGGAAAUGGCCCUGAAUUUUUACCUAAGCCCAACCCAGAUUAUAGAUGAUGAGUCCGAACCCAACCCAUAUUAUUUAAAAAAUUUAAUAUAAAUAAUAUAAAUUUAAAAUAUAUAAUAACUAACAUAAAAGAAAAGAAAAAUAAAAAUCAAAAUAUUGAGUAUUGAAAACAUAUGAUAAGCUACACUUUCUUUUUUGCUGUACAAAUACCCAAAUGCUUUAAAAAAAAAAAUGUCUUGUUGCAGUUUCUCAAUGAAGCUGAGAAACAAAUCAAGCAGCCAACACUAUGUUUAUCCUAUGAUUUGGUGUUCAUUUUUUGCAACCAAUUUCUAUGAAUAUUAUAGUUUGGUUCCUUCCACUACCAUACAUAAGAAACCUUAUCAACUAUUAAUUUGGAGGAGAAGCUUACUUGGAGUUUUUCAUGGCCUUUUUUAUAAGGCUCAAGUUAGAUAAUGGAGUUUCAUUAGAGAUCAUACCUCCUGCUUCCGCUUCUCAUUUAAACAUUCAACGCAAAAGAUUGAAGGAAACCAAAUCAAACCAGUAGAAAGUUACAACUAUACACUUUACAAAAGUAAAGUGAUAAUUUAUUUCAAAUAUAAUACAAAAAUAUUAAAAAUAAAAUUAUAAUUUAAAAAAAAAUUAGGUGAUGAUGUAGUACGAUUUCAGAAUGUCAUGUUAUCAUAUCUUAACAGAAUCUAAGUUCAUCUCCUAGAUUAAUUUGAAUUAAAAAAGAGAAUGAAAAAUUACAAAUUUCAAGGACUAAAUGUUGUAGUAUUCCUUAUUUAUUUUGGUAUCAGAUGUUUAACCCUGUAGUAUAAGAGAAUCUGUAAUUAAUUGACCUUUGGGUAGUUCAUUAUCGUUUUCUGUGCCUGGAACCCUAGUUGGAAACUGUAAAUUUGAUAAGAAUCAUUCAUAUAAUUUUGACUUUCCCUUACUUGGAAGAUUGAUGUGAUUGAAAAAAUGUACCAUUUUCUGUGCCUCAUGUCUAUCCUCAAAUUGUACUUUAACCUGGAAAGCAGCUUCUAUUCUCAUUUCAUAGUCAAGCUUUUUUUCUUCUUUAUUGGAAAGCCCAAGCUUGCUUUUAAUAACCUGUCCUUUUGGUUGAUUUUUAGAGAACAAUUCCGUUGAUCAUAGCUUCCCACUUUUCCAUAUGGACUCUCCACCAUCUCCAAAAGCAACCAUAUUUUGCCAUUGAAUCUUAUUCUUUCCAUGGGGACCCCGCAGACCAUACACUUUAUUUGCAUUAUUUGAAGCAAAUAAUUCAACUAUGUCUACAUGUCUCUAGCUACUAUACCAGCUUCCAUCAACUUUCUUUACUUGAUUAUUAUCAUUAUUAUAGUUUAAAUAUAGUUUUAUUUACUGAUAAUGUAUUAUUAGUUUAAACUUGUUAGGGAAGAUAUUUAAAUGAAAUUUGAUGUAGAAAAUGGAGAAAUCCUGUUCUUGCAAAAAUACCUUUCAAGAAAUGAAGGGGUGCUCCAACUUGUGAGUGGAUGGUUCGUGGCUCACUAUCUAAGGUGAAACAAGCUCCAACCCUUUGAAUCCUUAAUGCAUGUCUCGUGCAAAUCAGCUAAAUAAUAAUAAAAAAGAACAAAUGGAAUCAAAGAAGAGAAACCUGAAGGCAUCUCAGGUUUUUUGUCUGUCUCUUAACUUACAUGUGUAGACAAUGGAUGCUUCUUCAAAAGUCAAGCAAUUUCAUCAUCUCUUAAUGGAUAGCUUGUAUGGUGUGGACCCCACCAUGGGAAUCAUGCUUGCCUUACAGUUUUUAUAAUCAGAACCAGGAACUACACCCACUCCAUUUCAAUAAAUAAAAGCCUCUUAAUAAUCACUCUCAUGAGGUGGGGGAAAGGCCUAUUAAGAGCUAUAUACACAAUUAUUUCGUAAGGGUGCUAUGCAUCAUCAUAAAGCACUUAAGUUGAUUACAACUUACAAGAGCAAAACAAAAGAAAAAAGAGCUUGAUUGGUCUUUACACACACAAAUAUUGAUAUGAAUACCAAGGUAAAAUCUUCCAAAUACAUGAAAUAACUUAAAACAUUUAUAUUUGAAACUUACAUCCUGAUCCGAAUAACAUAGGGUGGGCGGAUGGUGGAUACCCUGCUGCUUCAUCAUACACCGCUGAUCUGAUCAUACUUCUGGUUGGCUCUCUACUUUGGUGACAUUUGAUGCUUCUUUGGUUUUAUUAAUUGACAGCUUGCAAGAAUCGAAUCUGCAAGGGUCAGCCUCAAUCAACAGCUGAACAACCUCAUUCAUCGGUGGACGUUGGGAUGGAUUCCUGUAUGUACAACGCAUCGCAAUUCUGAGAACCUGAAUCAUCUCGUCCUUGAAUGACCCCGACACUCGCUUGUCCAACACCUCCAUCACCCCUUCCUUCGUAUCCAGCUUUGUCGAAACCCAAUACACGAUGUUCUUGUUCUCCCCGAAAACUGCUUCCACCGGUUUCUUCCCGGUUAUCAGUUCCAUCAACACCACUCCAAAACUGUACACAUCACUCUUGGUCGUUGCUUUGCUUGAAUACGCAUAUUCUGUCCGUCAAACACAUUGAUUGAACUUAAUUGAACAAUUAAAAAAAAAAACUAAAAAUAUAUGAAUAAACAAGAUGUAUACCUGGGGCUAAAUAGCCAUAGGUGCCUGCUAUGACGGUAAUGAUUGAAUCUUUGCCUCCUCUGGCUUGUAAAACCUUGGCUAUUCCGAAAUCUGCAACUUUGGGUUCAUAAUUGGCGUCCAAUAGGAUGUUGGUUGACUUGAUGUCUCUGUGAAUAAUAGGUGUCAACAGAUCCUGGUGAAGGUAUGCCAAGCCUUGUGCGACCCCAAGUGCUAUUUGGUGUCUAAUUGGCCAAUCUAAAUGGAUCCAUCCUUUAUGAAGAGCAUCCCAAAGGUUCCCAUUCGGCAUGUACUCGUAAACCAACAUUUUGCAAUCGAAGUUCGUGAUGUAACUAUAGAGCUUGACUAUGUUUUUAUGCCUUAUGCUUCCAAGAGUCUCGACCUCGGUCUUCAACCCUUUGUCGAAGAUCAAUUGGUCUUCUGGAGUGGAGUCUUUUGCUGUUCUACUCCACAGCUUCUUCACUGCAACAACUUCUCCACCUCGCAACCUGAUUCUAUACACGGUGCCAGACCCUCCGUGGCCCACAAUGUUUUUAUCAAUCAUUGCUUCGAGGAUUUCGUGCCGGUCAAAACAUAUUCUAUGGAAGCUCUUCACAUCGUACGAAAAAAAUGAUGAAGACAAGGUCUCGUCAUGUUCUACUACACCUCUUUGUUUGCUGUAACGCCGUCUCAGGAACAGGAUGGCUCCGAUAGUAAAGACAAUGACUGAUAUCAUGAUUGCCCACAUAGAAUUUCGCUUCUUUUGGUUGUGCUUGUGUGAACAUUUGGGGAAACUUUGAACUUCGACAGGAGCACAAAGACCUGGAUUGCCUGAAAAGCUUUCCACCAACCCGUCUUUAAUCAACGAGAGAGGAAUUGGACCAUAAAGUUCAUUGUUUGAAAAGUUGAUGGUGUUAUACGACAGUUCACCCAGACUCUCUGGGAUAUUCCCAGUCAAGUGAUUGUUGGAAAGAUCAACAACACUGAUAGAUUUCAGCAAAGAAAGUGAACUGGGGAUCGAAGAGCUUAGCUUGUUCCCUUGCAACAUCAGUAAAUUCAGUUUCUUCAGAUCACCAAUCUCUGUUGGUAUUGGACCGGACAAGAGAUUGUUACUGAGAUCAAUCUUCAUCAGAUUUAUAGCUCCCGAGAUUUCAGGAGGUAAAAAACCUGACAACUUGUUGUUCUGCAUGAACAGUUCGGACAAGUUCUUGGCAUUUCCAAUUGAACUUGGAAAAGGACCUGUAAAACUAUUUUCAGCCAAGUCGAUAAUUGCAGCAUGAGGGAGUCCUAGAAGAUCUUCUGGUAUGGCGCCUUCCAAGUAGUUUUUGCUAACUCGGAACCGAAUAAGAGACUUGCAGUUUGCAUAACUAUCGGGCAACUUUCCAGAGAACUUGUUAUCUAAGACAAGCAAAUACAGUAACCUUCCACCCCGACAUACCUCUGCAGGCAAUGGACCUGAUAGGUUGUUCUCCGACAAGUCUAAAAGAACCAUAGCGGAGGACUUCCCCAGAUUCUGUGGAACUUGUCCUGAUAAGAAAUUCUCAUAGAGUGACAGCAUGGUCAAGGUUGUUGACUCUGCAAUAGCACCAGGGAUUUCUCCUGUAAGACUGUUGUUGUAAAGUUGAAGGACUUGAAGUUUGGGGAGUCGACAUAGAGAUUCUGGAAUGCUUCCACUCAACCGAUUGACAGACAUGUCCAAGUCUACGAGCUCUGUAAGGUUUCCCAGUUCCUCAGGUAUUGAGCCAGAUAAGUGCUGGUUGUAGUAUAACUCGAGCUGCUGCAAGUUUUUCAGCAAUCCAAGCUCCUUUGGAAUCUGACCUGAAAGGAAAUUACCACUCAACUCGAGAUCAACAAGCGAUGUCAUGUUCCCAAUCGAUGCCGGGAUUGAACCGUACAACAUGCAAGACGUGAAGACCAUAACUCUGAGUUUUGUGAGCCUAGAAAUGUUCCCCGGAAGUUGCCAUAAGUUCAAGCCAUCAUUUUCAUUGAAGUAGAUCACCUCGAGAUCGGUGAGAUUGGUUAUCGACAUGGGGAAGUCACCUGUGAAGAGGUUGUACGACAAGUCGACCACACGCAGAGAAGUCAUUUUCGAGAAAUCCGGAAGUGUUGUUCUAAGGUAUACGGAACUCAUACUGAACUCUUCCAAGAGAGAGCAGUUAACGAUGCUGUUAAGAAAGUUGCCACGGAGAUUAUUGCGGCUGAUAUCGAGAACGCGUAACUCUGGUAGAUGAGAGCACACGUCAGCCGGGAAAUUACCGGAGAGGGACCAGUCUGAGAUGUUAAUGCUUUCAACGUAGCCUCUAUUGUUGCAGCUGACACCACGGAAAUCGCAAUAACUUUUCAUUCCACUGACAUCCCAUGCAGACAAGGCCUUUCCUGAUAGAGAGGCCUUCAUGAGGUUAAAGAACCGAAAUUGAUCAUCUCUUAUAGCUUGAGAAGAAUCAUAAAACACAAAACUAAGCACCGCCAGCAGCAGAAGGAGAUGAAUAAAUUUCGGUGCCAUUUCAUAGAAAAUGAAAAAAGAAGCUUAAUGUUAAGGCAAUUGUUUGCAGCAGAGAAAGGUGGAAAAGUGAGUAUAUAAAUGAGCUGAUUGAGGGGAUCAUGGGGUGCAACAGUAAUAACCCCUCGACGAUGGAAAAGAAAGAAGGUUCCCCUGUUCUUUUUUUUUUCUUUUUGCAUAAAGAGGCUUUUAUUUUCAAUGUUUUAUACCCCACUACCUCAUAUCAUAUACAGGAAUAACAUCCCUUUGGCUCUUGAUGUGAUCAGUCCUGCUUUCUCGUGGAUGGCCAUGGCCCAAAGUUCCACAAAUUUGCAGGUCUAUAUGUUGCCAAUAUUGCCACUUACAUGCAUCAAAUAUACAAAUUUAUUCAAAGCAAGAGCAUGUGUGUAAUGUAUUUUUGUAAUCAAAAGCCAACUGCUUUUCUGGCAUUACAUGAAAGAUACCAUGAUUCUUCUUCUAUCGCUGUACGUGGUGCAAUAAUGUACGAACAUAUAAAUUCCUUUUUCUAGGGGUCCUACUGCUAUACAUUUAUAAUGCUGCUAGCUGUUAAUUUGCUUGUGGAAAAUUAUGCUCAUAUCAUUGUUUCAUUUCAUGUCCCAACAGGAAUUUGCUCUCACGUGUGAGAUUCAUAUAUAAUAUAAUAUGAUAUAGUACAGUGAAUCCUGUUUUUGUUUGUCUGGAUUAGAUUAAGUUAAAGUACCAAAGAAUUUUAAGUAAGCUUCUAUUUACAUCUCAAUAUUUAUUUCAUAAAGAUCGAAUCAAAUGUUUUAAAGAAAGAGAGAGUUGCUGGAAAGCUCAUCACCUUCCAACUGAUCUAACGCUAAAAGUAAGUGAAAAAACACUACACUGCCAGUAGUUUAUUAGGUUAAAUACUUAUGUUAUCUGCAGGUAGGCGAUUUAAGUUAGCAUGAUAAUUCGUGGAAAUUAAGAUGGAUGCAGUUGACAAGCUUAUAUAAUUACUAUAUUCACAAUGCUACAAGCUUAAGGGAAUCUUUGGAUUGGAUUGGAUAGAGCGGGGAAUAGAGAUGAUAUGCUCAAGGAUGAAUAGCUUGUAGCAAAGAUGCCCACUCUUCAUAAAGUCUUUGGUGUUGUUUUGAUUCUCAGCUAAAUAUUUAACAUAUUAGGUUUAAUUUGACUUCAGUCCUUAUACUCUUCAAACCUUUGAAAUUUAGUUUUCUUUUUCUACUUUUAUUUCAUAAAAUUUAGUCUUUUUACAUCUCUGAUUUGAAACAUUGUUGUUAAAUUUGAAUAUGUUAUAUUUUAAUAUUCCAAGUUCUUGUUAAGAAUUGAAAUCCAUAGGUAGCACAUAUCCAAAUUUAACCGAAAUUAAUUAAUAAUGUUAUUAGAUAUUAAUUUUUAGAUAAGAUAAUUAUGUUAAGAUAGACUGAAUUCAUUAAGAAAAUACAAGAAAUGAACACUAAGUAUUUAAUACAGUAGGUCAGUAACUACUAACUGAAGUUAACUGACUAACUAUACUUAACUAACUUUCUUGACUAACUUUUCAGCUAACUCUUAUUCCUAACAUGGCCUAUGCUUCUCGACUUUCCUUGUUUCUGCAUGAGACUUUCCUUGCUUCUGUAUGACAUCCCUUCCUAUGGAAACCACUCCAAGUUUUCUCCUGAAUUUGUCGAAUAACCCUACUGACAAAGGCUUGGUCAAAAUAUCAGCAAUUUGAUCCUGUCCAGAGAUAUGUUUUGUGAAGGACAUUCAGACAGGGAAGAUACUACUGGGGGGCCACAUGCAUAAUGGUUGUAUAGGUUUGAUUUCUCUCGAUCUACUUCACAAAAGCCUAAUCCUACUCAAAGCCUCGAGUCUCCUCGUCUGUGCAAUGUUCAGACUCCUUCCUCUGUUGAAAUCUGGCAUGACAGGCUUGGACACCCCUGUCCUAAUACACUUGCUCGUGUUUUGAAGUCUUGUAGUGUUUCUUUCAAACAUAGCAACUUACAGUUUGUGUGUACACCUUGUAAGUUGGGCAAAUCUCACAAACUGCCCUUCAGUACCUCACAAACAUUGUAUUCAUUUCCGUUUGAGCUAGUGGCAUCUGAUGUUUGGGGACCCUCCCAUGUGCCUUCAAAUAGUUUUUCUUACUAUGUGUCUUUUGUAGAUAUGUAUAGCAGAUAUACUUGGUUGUAUUUUCUCAAAUCAAAGUCAGAAGUGUUUCGAUGUUUUCUUUAUUUUCUCAAGAUGGUGCAAGUGCAAUUUGGAAUAUCCAUCAAAAUGCUGCACACAGAUGGGGGGUGAGUAUCGGUCCUUGUAUAAUACUCUCUCUCAGCUGGGAAUUCAACAUCGAAUAACAUGUCCAUACACAUCAGAACAGAACAGGGUGGCUGAACGGAGACAUCGUCAUGUAGUUGAUAUGGGGCUCACGUUACUAGCUCAAACUUCAAUGCCUUUGGUACACUGGUCGUCUACUUUUUCUCAUGCAGUUCACCUUAUCAACAGGUUACCAACACCUCUUUUGCAGCAUCAAACCCCUUAUGAGAGACUCUUUAAGGCUCAACCUGAUUAUUCUCAGCUGAAAGUAUUUGGGAGUGCUUGCUAUUCGUACUUAAGACUGUUCCAGCAGCAUAAGCUUCAGUUCUGAUCUCAACAGUGUGUUUUUCUUGGAUUUAGCCCUAACCAGAUGGGUUAUAAAUGUCUUGCUACAGAUGGCCGAGUAUUUGUUUCACGCCAUGUUUUGUUCAAUGAGACGCUGUUUCCAUUUCAAAAUGGUUUUGCUCUGAUACCAUGUAAGAUAGACUGAAUUCAUUAAGAAAAUACAAGAAAUGAACACUGAGUAUUUAAUACAGUAGGUCAAUAACUACUAACUGAAGCUAACUGACUAACUAUACAACAACUGUACUUAACUAACUUUCUUGACUAACUUUUUAACUAACUCUUAUUCUUAACAAAUUAGAAGUACUAAAUUCUUGGAAUUAAAGCAGAAGAAUGAAUUUUUCAAAAGUUCAAAGAUUAGAGGGACUAGAGACAAAAUUAGACCAUAAGUAUGAUUACUACCUAUAAAAGUAAUCCUUAGCCUCUGAUUUUUUUUUGUCCACAUUAUCUUCAAAUUUUAAUUUUUUUAUUAUAAAUUUUGAUUCUUAUAAUCUGAUAGCACUUUGAUAUCGUGUUAGUGUUAUCUCAACAUCUAAAAAAUAUAUUUUAUAAAAAAUUUAAAUAAUUAUGUCACAUUAUCAUAAAACAACAAAAUUAUCCAAUUUCAAAAACUAACAUCAACGAAAAAAAAUUUUCAAAUAGCAUAUUAAGAAAAUUUGACAAAUUGUAAGAGUAAAUGUUAGUCUAUCCCAAAGUGAAAUAAAAACUAUACAAAUUAUUAGAUCUAAAGUAGAUGAAUAAGUAACCAAAAAAAGAAAAAAAAAGCUUAAGGGUCAAAAAAAAAGUCUUCGGUAAAAAAUUAAAAAAUUGUUUAAGUCUUUAUGGAAAAAUCAAUUAAUCCCUUCCGUUAACAAAAACCGUCAGUUGACCAAUUUGAUCAUUAACAUUAUUGACAUAUUGAUGGAAGUCACUAGAAACUGUCAUAUGACUAUCAAAUUAGUAAAAAGUAAUAUAUAUAUAUAUUUAAAUAAGUAAAAUGUGCUUAUAAAAUAAAUUUGGACGCAUUGUUGUCCAGAUUUAAAUAAAUAUGAACAAUUGGUUGUACAGAUGAAUGUAAAACUAAAAAAGAAUUCAAAAAUUAUAAAAAAUAUAUAUUAAAAAUUGUAAAAAAAAAUAGAAUAUUAACAAUUUUUAAUACUAAUUAACCAUUCUUAAUAUUAACAAAUGAAAUUACAAAAAGCAGUGAUUAUUAGAGCAUUGUGAUCCAGAUAUUUUUAAUUUAAUUAUUCCCAUAGGCACAGAAAUAAGUAUAAUAUGAAUACUUACUAUUAAACAAAACUAAAUUAUAAUGUAAGAUUUAACCCUAUAAAACUCUUGGAGGCUAAGGAGAUGAUGGAAUUGGAUCUAAAACAUGCGACUUUCAUGACCUUCCUUCAAAGCAAAUAAAAAAAAAAAGAGGUGUAAUUACAAUCCAUUUGCCUUAUUGCAAGAGUUGCGAUCGUAUUACAUUACCACACUUCUUCUACCAUAGUGGAGACUGUGGACAGAACAGUGAAUGAGGUGAUUCAUCGGGUUAAGUGUGUGUUCUGUAGGUGGACUAAAAAUAAUAAGCUUUUUCAAUUUUUUUUAAUGAGUAAAAAUGUGUAAAAUUCAAAACAAGUAACGAGAACAUAUACAAGAGGAAUCAAGAGAGCAGAGAAUGAAGAGAAAUUUAUGAGAGUAUUGAAGAUAUUCAAUUAUGUUUAAAAUAUUAACAUUUUUUAACUUUUUUUUUUAUAAAUUUUAAAAUUUUUUUAGUUUUGUAUUCAUGCAAAAUUUAUCUAACUCGUUCUACAUGCACAUUUUAAUUAUUUUUAAAACGUAGUUUUUCAUUUGGCAAUUUCUGAUGACUUUUGUCAAAUAUGUCAGUAAUGUUAACAGAAAAACCCCACAAUUUCCAUUAAUAAAAAAAGCCAAUUGAUUUUUUGGGCCGUUGAGAACACAAUUAAAUAUACUUUUUUUUCAUAAGAAUUCUGUUAUUAUUUUUUAAUUUUUUUGUUUAAGAAAAAAAUAGAUGAAUGGGUGCCAAAAUAUGACCAGACAGUAAUCGAUUUUAGCUGAAUGCACUGAAUAAUGUUCCUCAAGUGCUAACCCUAUUUCUAUAUAAUAAAUCUGAUUUAUUAUUAUUAUUAUAUAGGGGGAGAAUAAUAUUAUUCUUUUUGGAGGCUCAAUUCCUUUUUCAAUUUGAUUUACUUUCCAUAAUAUAAUGAAAAUAAGGGUUACGGUUUGCCUUAUGACUCAAUCUAUAAUCAUGUGUUCAUAUGUAAUAAAUUUCACUAUUACAUAUUGUUUUUCAUUAACAAAUUUUGUAAGGUAAAUGAUGAAAAGUGGAAAUAAAUCAUAAAAUAGUGUACCCUAACUUUAGAUACAUAACAAUCAUUUUUCUUUCACACCAACUUUUCCAGGAAAAAGAAAAUUAGUUUUCUUGUCUAUUUCAUUUCAUCAAUCAAAGUGACUGAAUAAUUCAUAAAUAAAGAAAAGGCCUAGGAACAACUUUUGAGAGUGUAUGUAAGAAUCAACUAAGAUAUUUCACAUAAACUUUAAAUUUGCUUCCAAUAUAAGCUUUUCCCUCUCCCUCAUUCCCUACAAUAAUUUCCUAUGGAAUCCUCAAAGGUUUUAUUAUGAUUUCUAAAAUUGUUUAGUGUAUUGAUUUAAUUCCUACAAAAAAAUAAAUUUAGAGUUAAUCUUGAUAAAAAAUUUGAAAUAAUUAAAAUCGCGAAAAAAAAAAUGAAACAAAUACUUCAUUUUAAAAAAUUUAUGAUACAUUUUAUCAGAUGUAUUACGAAUUAAAAUACAACACGAAUAUGAUAUUACCAAAUAAAUUAUUCUCACCUUUAAAAUUAUAUAAAUAAAUUAUUCUCUAAAUUAAAUAUAUCUACAAAACAUAACACAUAAAAGUAAUAUAAAGACGACAUCUACACAUAAAAGUAAUAGGAUUUAUAAAACUUAAAAAUAUACAAGUAUAUGAAUAUGACAUAAAAAUAUUACUUCAAAAACAAACAAAUAAUAUGAAAUAUCAACACGACUUGCCAAGUGUGUAAAGAGAGUGAAUAACUCUACGAAAAUCGAAUGCAAUUUCAUGAGACAAUAGUAUUAAAUCAUAUUCAACUUUAUCAUAAUUAGUUGAUUGAGUCUUAAUUUUAUCAAUAUAUAGAAAGACGUGGAUUCAAAUGCACUGAAGCGUUUUAUCCUCCUAUUCAUGAGUCGGGGAGGAACUAUAUCCUCUUUAAUUAAUAACAUAAAUGACCGUUGAAUUGUGUUACCUCAUGCAUUAAAUUAGUUAAUGUUAAGUUAUGGUUUAAUUCUCAAAUAAAUAAAUUAUGAUUAUAAUUAAAUUAUUAUGAUAAAUUAUGAAAAAUACGAGACAUCGAAACGAUUAUAACAGAGUACAUAUGAUCCAAAAUUAAAUAAAAUGCAUAUAUUUAUACAAAUUUACAAUCUUUUAAAUACAUGAAAUGAAUAAUAUGAAGAUGCCACAAAUUAUUAUUUUUCCUCUUAUGUCGAGUUACUAUAAAAAAUUAUGUAAAAUAUGAAAUUAAUUAAAUCGCAAUAAAAAUAGAUAUAAUGUUCUUCGAAGUUGGACUACUAUUAUAAACUAUGUAAAACAACAUGACACAAAAAAGGGGAAAAAAAACAACGACAACAAUAUUACGAGUACAACAUUCACAGAUCAACAUGUCAUGAAAAAUUAUAUAAAUUUAUAACACUCAAAACAUAAAAGAUAUGAAAUAAUUAGAAGAGUGCUUUAAAAUCGACAUAAAAUAACCUAUAAAUACAUAAAAAUUAAAUAUAAAUUUACAAUAUUUUAAACGAGCAUAAAAAAACAUUAAGACAACAGAAAAAGAUAAAUUUAAUUGAAAUAUACUUCUUAAACCUAGACUCAAAUGCUCUAAUUGAUUACCCCACCAUGAUUAAAAUUGUCAGGAAUACAAUAUUCAUAAAUCUAAAAAUGUUUUUGUUAACGUGUUAAUUAUGAGUGUUGAGAAAAGGUCGGCUCAUUCGAAAGAAGUUUUUGAAGUGUCAUUCACUUCAUAAAUGCGAAAUACUUAUCUUACAAGAAUGACAAAUAAAAAAGAAAAGUGUGGGAGAGAUAAAAAGAUGCAGCGUCGUUUGUCUAUUUGACUAGUCAAACACUGGCUAAUUCAUAGAUCUUUGGGUUUUGAUUACCAAGGAAUAGAGACUUUACAAAUAAAGCUCGAGGAUUGGGAUUCCAUUGCUGUUAUUUUAUAUGUAUAUGGUUACAAUUAUCUAUGUUCCUAAUGUGCCUAUGAUGUAGCAUCAAGCGGACUGUUAGCCAGUGUGUAUCAUCUUACGAGAAUAGAGUAUGGUGUUGAUCAACCGGAAGAGGUAUGUAUAAAAGUAUUUGCUCCAAGGAAUAACCCUAGAAUUCCAUCUGUUUUUUGGGUUUGGAAAAGUUCGGAUUUUCAAGAACGAGAAUCUUAUGACAUGUUGGGAAUCUCUUAUGAAAAUCAUCCAUGACUAAAACGUAUCUUAAUGCCCAAAAGUUGGACAGGGUGGCCUUUACGUAAGGAUUACAUUGCCCCCAAUUUUUAUGAAAUACAAUACGCUUAUCGAAUGGUAAGAAACUAAUUACAACUCCAAAUAUCCAAGGAAUAUUUGUACAUUCUCUCGUAGCUCAAACUGAGGAAUUGAAAAGCUUUUUAUAAGCUGAUUUAUUGAAGUCAUUCAUCAACGGUGGCAUGCCACAAUUCCUUUUUCUUUUUGACCCUAUGCCAGUAAUUCCACUAUUAUUAGUGAACAAUAAUGGAAAAAUUAAAUUCCUUCAUGUUUGUUUCAUAAUCAUAGAGAUAGGGGACAUAAUACACAUGGAUAUAGUAAGUUUUGUUUGGGCUGCUUUAAUGAUAGUCUUUACAUUUUUCCCUUUCACUCGUAGUAUGGGAAGUGGGCUUCAGGGGUGCUCCUAAUUGAGGUUGAAGAAUCAAAUCGUAUUAAUUAUUUUUUAAAUCGUUUUGCAAAAUUUUUUUUAAUUAUUUUAUUAGUCUUCAUUUCGAAUUGAAUGCUUGAGACAAUAAAUUCAACAAAAAUAAGAAUACCUCGUCAAAAUAGACCAUGACGCACGAUGAGCAUAAUGUGUUUACCAACUAAUAAAAUAUCAAUCACAAAAUUUAUAUGCAAGUACACAUAAUAUCAUUCCACCAACACAUUUUUUAUUAUAUGCAUCUAGGCCCAUACCCAAUUUUCCUUUUUUAGACAAUUACUAAUUGAUAUCAAUUUGGGUUGUUUGUGUCUAUAAGCUCAAGACCCGGGCAUUGAAAAUUGAAAAUCUUGUCUAAGUGGGCUAAAGCCCGGUGACCUAGCCAUCGAUAUUUAAUAAAUAGGAAAAUAUUAUAAUAAAUACAAUAUUUUAAGAUCCCGCCUAGCAAUAUUUAUUGAAUAUUUAUAUCUCUUGGUUUUAUUUUUUCAAUAAUAAAGGACAGGUUUUGUUAUUAGUUGCAUGCUAAGUGUGGAUUUAAUUUAUGUAUAUAUAUUAAUUUCGUUAAUUUUUUAAAUUUUAUAUUAGAUCAUUCUCAAUCAUUAUAUUUUUUUAAUUACAAAAUUUUAGUAUUGAUGCGAACAUCAACCCUAAAAUCAUUUAGCCGACCUUUUAGUGAGAAAUAUAUAAAAAUAACAACAUGACAUAACAUUAUAUAGGCAAUAAUAUGUUCUUUGUGUUAUAUGUUGGAAAUAACAUAACUUAAUGAAUAUAAUGUCUACUAUUGGGUUAAGAUUGAAAUUUCAAAUUUUGAAAAAUAUCUUUACUAAAAUUACCAAAUUAAAGUAUAUGGAUUGAAUCCAUAAUAAGGACCGAUAGCAAAGUUUAACAAAAAAAAUAAACCAAAUAGCUAAAGGUUUUUUCAUCAAAAACAUCUAGCAUAAUGCCAAAUUUAGCCCUUAAUAUUUAUAUUUUUUUGUCAAUUUGAUUCUUGUUUUUUUUUUAAGCUAAAUUUGGUCCACAAUCUUUUAUAAAGAGUCAAAUUUAACUAUCAAUCUUUUGAAAAAAAAAAGUCGAAAUGAUAUUUUUCUAACAAGAAUACUAACUAAAAUGUUAAAAUUUUAAACACUAUAACUUGCAUAACAGUCCACGUGUACUUAUUGACGAAGCCACAUGCAUGAUUGUGGGGCAAUUAAAGAAAAAUAAAAGAAAUUUUACUCGUAAUUUUUAUAAAAAAAAUUAUAUAAUUGAUAAAUUGACCCAUAAAAAUUUGAAAAUUAUUUACCAAAAAUUUUAAAAAUAAUUAUUUUUACAAAAUUAUUUUAUAUAAAAACAAAAGAAUAUCCAUAUCCACUAAAAUCCAUUUUAUUUUCUUUUAACACUCAUUACUUUUCUCUCAAAAUUCUCUUAUUCUCUCUCUCAAAAAAAAAAUCUUUCAAUACUUUCAAACAGAAUUUCGUAAUUGGUAGUUCUGACUUUUCUUGUGAUAGAUUAAGAUUUUUAUACAAGAUCUAGUUUUUUAUUGAUUGAAUGAUUUUGGGAUAUUGAUUUUGUAUGAGAUUUCUAAUAUAUUGAUUGGAUAAUAAUUUGUACAUGUUAACUAAUACAAAUCCUUGAAGAAAUUAAAAUUGGUUGUAUUUAUAAUCUUGAUUUUUUAAAAAUAUUGAUUAAACAUUUAGUAUUUUUAUUUAGAAAUUAUUAUUGUCAAUGUAAUUAUUGUGAACCUUGUAUUUGAAAAUUGAUAUAUUGUAUUACCAUGACACCAAAAAGCACUUAAAUGAUUUUUAUUUUUGUUAAUGAAAAUAACUAAUUGUAUACAAGUAAAGUUUUUUGUGCAAGGUUUAAAUAUAUUUUUUAAAAAAGUUUACAAGUAAAGUAGGAGAAGAACAACAAGAAAGGGUGAAUAGUCAAAGUGAAAUACAAACCAAUAUAAAAAGAAAAAGUCAAACUAAUUAAAUUUAGCUUUUAAAGCUUUCUAGCUAUUCAAGGAUUGACAGCUCAAAUUACAAAUUUAUCAACCAAAUGAUAGAGACAAUAUAAGAAGGGCAUAUUUAUUUUAUUGAGUACAAUAGUUGAUAUGACUUUUACAAACAUUUUAACUUUUCAAAAUUUGACUCCACAAUUUAAAUUUAUUGUCUCCGUGUACUUCAUUCUAUUUCUUUUUCAAUUUUUUUAUAAUUUUGAUUUAUUUUAUUUUUAUAAACUUUAUAUCAUAUAAAGAUUAAAAUAAGUAAAAAAUGCGAAAUACUUAAGCAAAUUAAACCCGUAGAAUUAACAACAUCUCGUACAAUUUUUAUGAGUGUGUGUCAAGUUAAUACUCAAUAAAUUGCAAAAAUUAUUUAUAUGCUUCGAUCAGCAUUUCAUUCUCCAUUUGAUUGCCCCUUUUUUGUUGCGUAAAAGUAAAUUAAAAUGGUUUAAAAUAACACGAGUGUUACGUCACAGCUAUGCAAAGUUUAUGGCAAAUUAGUUAAUAAUCUGAGGGUCACCAUUGCCAUGGAAAUAAUAUAAAGUUGAGAUCAAGCCUAGGCUUCUAGAAUUAGAAUCAUCAUCUAAAUUGGCUCUUGCUUGAUUGGUCAGCUAAGCCCUAAAAGAUAUGGAAUUUGUUUUCCGACGCAACGCCUUCCAACAAAUUAAUUGGAUUAAAUAUAAUCUUGUAUGUUACGAGAUACAACAGAAAUCUUUGGUAGCUUCCAAAACCUGUUGGAUCAAAUUGUUUCAGAUGAGUAAUGUCAUAAGAUUUCAUGAUAACAGUGUUUAUUGUUUUUGGCAGAUUUCAUCUGAAAAAAAAAAAGAGAGAAGAAAACUGGCAUUUCUUGUCUCAUAUAAAGCGUACAAUUAAUACCACUAUCACAGGCUCUAGCUAAUACUUCACAAGUGAUCAGAGCUGAUUCAAUUUUACAAUAUGGUACAAAAAUGGUUAUUACAAUAGCUGGCAAUGUUACAGGAUUUUGGGACUAUAGGUUGAACUGGUCGGCAGAAUCCAUGGCUUCCUUUUUCUUCACUUCACCGUCCUUAUUGAUUACGAUGCUGACCAAUUUGCAUGGUUCAGCUUCUUCCAGCAUUUGAACCACGCUUCUCAUGGUUGGUCUAAGUGCCGGCAGCUGGGUCGUGCACAAAAUGGCUAUUUUCAGCACCUUCACAGCAUCUUCUUUGAAAGCUACUGGGAUUCUAGGGUCCACUAUACUUAAAACACUCUCUUUGUUCUUUAGUUUGCUUGAAACCCAAGACACUAUGUCUUUAUUAUCUCCGAACUCUGGUUCGAUAGGUCUUUUUCCGCUCACUAGCUCCAUUAAUACUACUCCGAAACUGUACACAUCGCUCUUCUCGUUUACUUUGUAUGUGUAACCGUAUUCUGCAGAAUUAACAUUUGUACUAUUAAUAAAACAGGAUCUGUAAAAGAUAAUUUUGUGACCAAUGUUUCAUUUGGGAAGUAAACAACUGAAAUUUAACUUACCAGGGGCUAUGUAUCCAUGGGUGCCUGCAAUGACAUGGGUUGAGUCUUUGCCACCAUUGGCUUGGACAAUCUUGGCAAGUCCGAAAUCUGCAAUCCUAGGCUUCAAAAACUCAUCCAGCAAUAUGUUGCUGGAUUUGACAUCCCGGUGGAUCACCGGCCUUUCACAUCCAUGAUGAAGGUACUCCAGUCCCUUAGCUGCACCGACUGCAAUCUCGUACCUUGUAUCCCAAUCGAGCUCCAUUUUUCGACUCGUAUGCAACCGAUCCCACAAGCUCCCGUUAGGCAAGUACUCGUACACCAACAGGCUCGAGUCUUCGCUAGUAAUGCUGCAGUAAAGCUUGACCACAUUGACAUGUCUUAUUGAGCUCAGUGUCUGUACCUCCGCAUCGAACUCCUUUUCCUUUCCCGAACGUCUGCCAAGGAUCGGGGUACUGCUCCGGCUCUUCCAGCGGCCAUGAGAAUCCGUGUUCCAUAUGUGUUUCACAGCGAGUUCUACACCAUUAGAAAGCAUAACUUUAUAUACAUUCCCGGCCCCUCCUUUCCCAAUAAGAUUCUCUUGCUUGAUAGAAUCAAGAAUAUCAUCUUCGGUGAAAGUUAACACAUGGAAAGACUUAACAUCCCAUGAUUCUUCCUUCAAUGAACGGUUAUGAUCUGUUUCCUUCCUCCUUAAAUAUAAGAUACAUCCAAGUGAAGCAAGCACGAUUGCACCUACGGCCAAACAAACUAUAAGCGUACGAACAUGUUUCGACAUUCCGGAAUCCGGUGGACAUUGCUUGAAAGAUUUGAUAGUUGAACUGCAAAGGCCUGGAUUUCCGGCCAAGCUACCGUUAUACGCUUCGACGGCAAGAGACUGGGGUACAGGACCGGUUAAACGGUUAUAGGACAGAUCAAAAAGGUUCAACCUGAGAAACGACAAGCUCUCUGGAAUUCUACCCGAAAGUUCGUUUCGAGACAAAUCCAGAGAGUUCAACGUCGGCAAAGAACCUAAAGAUGACGGGAUUUUGCCCGAAAGAGAAUUGUUAGCCACGUUUAUGUUACUGAUGGAAGCACAAGAGCCUAAUGAGUCUGGUAUGGGACCAGAGAACAUAUUGUUCUGCAAUUUAAGGCUGCUCAAUGCUUUCAGUUCCCCAAUUCCAUCAGGGAUUUCUCCUGACAUCUGAUUGUCAUUUAGCUCAAUUUUAACCAAAGACGUGGCUCCUGAAAUCUCUUUAGGUAACUCACCUGAUAACCGAUUGAACUCAGCUGACAAUAUCCCAAUCUCUUUUGCAUUCUUGAUAUCAGAUGUAAUUGGACCUUCAAAGCGAUUGUAAGCAAUGUCAAUUAUUUCCACUUGGGGCAAUCCCCAUAUUCCGGCAGGAACUAUGCCUGAAAGCGAGUUGUUGCUGACUCUGAACCGCUUCAUAGUGGCACAACUCGCGUAAGUCGUCGGGAUUUCACCGGUGAAGCGAUUUUGAAGCAUAAGGAGCCCUCUCAUGGUUCCCUUUUUGCACAUAUCUGGAGGAAUUGGACCCGUCAAGAGAUUCUCCGAUACAUCGAUGUAGUCAAAAUCAGCCCAAGAGCCUAGCUUUUGAGGAAGGGGACCAGUCAACAUGUUGGUAUAAAGUGACAGAUUCACCAGCUUCUUGAACUCACCCAACUCGGGCGGUACUCCACCGUUAAACCGGUUCUCAAAGAGCUGCAGGCUCACCAGGUUGGUCAAAAACUUCACUUCCGAGAUAUCCCCUUCGAGAUGGUUGCUCGAGGCAUCAAAAUAUUCCAGGCUUGUCAGAUUUCUCAAUCCAGCAGGAAGUUUUCCGGUGAGUUCAUUGGCGUAAAGCUCCAGCUGCCAGAGCUUGCGAAGUUUUCCAAUCUCCGAUGGAAUAUCACCUGAUAAAUAAUUUAAUUGGAGCUCCAAAUCUUUAAGCUCGGUGAGAUCUCCAAUGGCGGGUGGGAUCUUUCCUUCAAUGCUGCAAUUCGCCAAAUAAAGCCAAUUCAGUUUCUUCAACUUCACGAUUUGAUCCGGAAACGGGGUUCGAUCGAAAGGAUUGUCCCCCAGGCUCAGAACAGUAAGAUUGUUCAUGUUUUCUAGCGAUUUCCAUGGGAAACGACCCGAAAAUCCACUGCCGUUCAAAUAAAGGUACUGCAACUCGCUGAGAGCUGAUAUAUCCGGGAAUGGACCCGAGAAAGGAUUGUUCCCGAGAUCCAAAUAUCUAAGCUUUGAACAGUUAUUCAAAUCCUCGGUGAUCGCACCAUACAAUGAAUUGUGCCCCAUGGAAAGCUUAUCCAAGGAUUCAAGCUGGCAUAUUGAAUCCAAAGGAAGAACGCCCGUCAACUUCUGACUCGAAAGCUCGAUUUCCUUAACCGACCCUCCAGCGUCACAGGUGAUUCCAUUGAAGCUGCAAACGGAACCGGUAGCCGCCCAUGAAUCGAGAACAUCGGUGCUUGAUUUAUUGAGAGCUGAUUUCAACGUCAGCAGUAUUUGAAGUUCAUCGGAUUUUACAUAACAAGGGAAGGUGAAACAGAACAGGAAACAUAGAGAAAGAAAAAUUUGCCGGUGGGAACAGGCGUUGGACAUGCCGGCGAUUUGAAGAAACAGACAAGAAAGGGAAGACCCUUCUUUUGUACAAGUAAACAGAGAAAGAAGAAGAAUUGAAACGAAGAGUGGACUCAAGGUAGUGGCAUUUAAGAAAAAAAGAUGGCUGCUUGGCGUUCACAUUAAUCUGCCAGACCAAGCAAGCAUAGUGACGAACAAGGAAAUUUGCCGGUUUCUAGAGACGAAAGUUGUCAUUAUAUUGAAGGCAGUUUAAUUAUUAUUACAGGGUUGACACGGGACUUCCUUUUUCUUCGUCUGUUUGUAACCGUUAUUGUUUUGUAGUAAAUUUCUUAAAAGAAGUAAAAAGAAAAACAGAACAAUGGGAAAAGCACAUUUGUUCGGAACACAACAAGCUUUUAAGUUUAACCUGUUGUAAAUAUUACAGAAUAACUCAAAAUUUAUUAAUCAAUUAGCAAAAGAGCCAAGAAAGAAAGUCUUGAAUAUGACAUUAUCAGAAGUUAACUCAACCCCUUUUUUUUCUUUUUUAAAGAUUCACUGAUCUCUCAACGUGAUGUUAAAGCAAUUAUAGAUUCAUUGGAUUGUUGUUCUUGCUGAUCCUAUCUUGUUAAAAGGUAAAGGAAGAGGACGUUUUUGUUUUUGUAAUUUAUAUAAUAACCGCAAAGGGAUUGCAGUAAGCAAAUCUGGAGUGACAAUAGUGGGUUUUACUUUCCACUAAUUUAUUUACAAUUAAUUAUGACGUGGAAGACGUGUGGAGUUUCAUGGAGCCGCAGAUGUUGAAUUGUUUCCAGAGAAAAACAUAUAUAUUUUUAUAAUAAUGAUCGUGGACCUACAAAAAGGACAACGUGAAAUCUGAAACGCUCCUGUCGGGCGCGUGGUAAAACAUCUCUCUUUGACCCUAACAAUCAUAUAAAAUCUGAAAGGUCGCUGGUUCGAAGAAGGUUGGUAUAUUUUCCUUUUGGUUCCAAAAAGAAGAUUGAUACAUUGAAUCUCGCGUUCUAGAAGGCAAUAUUUAAAUAUUUUACACGUGCCUUCUUGGUAGGGUAAAUUGUAUACAUGACGAUCCAAGUUUUCAGGCGUUUUCAUUUUCGUCACCGCUUCCACUUUCCCAUACUAGAAUAUGGCGUGUUAAAAUUUAUGAAGAAACAAGUGUGUUCAAAAUAUUGAUAUGGAUCCUAUAAUCCAUUUUAUUGUCCUGAUAAUUUUGUUUACUGCUCUUGCUCAACUCUAUUGUCUUUCUCUUUGUAAAAAAUAAAAAUGGAUAUAUAAUGUGUUAAAUUAAUAUUAAUACGAGAUUACUAUUAAUGAUUAUCUUUUUGAAUACCAUUCAAAACAAAAAUGAUUUGUAGUAGGUGAAGAAAAACAAAGGGUGAAAGUGUAAACCAUGAAAGGUUACUCACAUUUCGCUUUUAAAUAAAGUAUACUUUCUUCUUUUGCCUUUAUUUGAAAAAGGAAAAAAAGAAAAAAACCAUUGAUGAAAAGCUAUGAAUCAUGGUUUAUCGAAGGAUAAAAAGGCAAAAGGACAAUCUAAAAUUAAGCAUUUUAUUCCAUUACCUAAAUAAUAGAAGGGUAAACUACAAAAAUAGUCACUUUUGUUUUCCUCAUAUUAUAUUUUAGUCACUUAUGUGUAAAAUGUUACGCUUUAGUUUUGUUACGAAAUGGUCACUCUACCAUUAAGCUCCAUUACCUCCCUAACGACGGUCCUACGUGGUAGUCCAAAUAGGUUUUAAAUGCCAACUUGGAUGUCCUACGUGGCAGUCUAAACUAAAUUUAUUUAAUUAAAAACCUAUUUUCAUCGACACCCAAGUUGGCAUUUAAAACCCAUUUGGACUGCCACGUAGGACUGUCGUUCAGGAGGUAACGGAGUUUAACGAUAGAGUAAUCACUUUGUAACAAAAUGAUAAUGUAAGUGACUAAAAUGCAACAUUUUAAAUAUAAAUAAUUAAAAUGUAAUAUGAGGCAAACAAAAAUGACUAUUUUUAUAGUUUACCCAUAAUAAAAAUAUAUCACCUUUCGUGUUGUUGUGAAAUUAAGAUUAAAACUUGAUUUUUAUGCCACUAGAUAUAAUCCUAGAUGUCAUUUUAAAAACUUAUCUUUGACAAGUCUUAGUUAUUACCACAAUUCUAGAUUAAAAAAAUAAUUAUAGUGCUUAUCUCUGUCCUCUUUUUCUGGGUAUAAAAAGAAAUAUUAAAAUGCAGUAGUGCUAAGGACAAUUCAGACUUUUUCAUUGGAAUUUCGAGAGAAAGGAAGGAUAUUAAAAUUCAAACAAAUGACAAAGCAUAUAUAGAAGAAUUAAAUUAAACUCUGGUUUCUAGAAAUACCAACUCCCUCCAUUUAAUAUUUAUAUUGCUGUUCAAAGAUUUUAUAUAGCUACCCUCCUCUAUUUAUUCUUAUGGCAGAUGGUGGAUCAUGGUUGUUGGACCCCAAACGACUAGUGUUAUUAGAUAAUUAUCUCAAGGAAUAUUCGUAAGGUAGACUAACCCUAGAAAAUAAUAGGAUCUUCCUUGAUUACCAUUAGCGAAGUUAAUAUAAAAUUUGCAUAAUGAAUUACCUCAAUCUGUAAUUUUGUUCUUGUUAUAUCCUAAUCCAUGGUUUUGAAUUUAAAAAUUUUAGAUUACGAUAUGAUAUUAUAGUUAGCAAUGUUACAUUUUAGAAUGAAAUUAUAGUGUUCAGAUUUCAACAUUUCGACUAUCUCGUAACAUAUGGUGUAAUCUCAUUACAGUUCAUUCAUUAGUUAAUCUUAGAUUACAUGCGUAAUCUUAAAUUUUAGACCAAUUUACUAUUUAUUUUUAUUAUUCUAAUCCAUUUAAUUUUUUUCUUAAAUAAAGUAAACAAAAGAUAUUUUUUGUUUAACCAUUAGAUGUCAUACUUUACAAUUAUAAUUAUUAUAUUUUAUUUAAUAAUUUAUUUAUUAAUAUAUUAAUUAUGGUUACAACUAUAAUUAUGGUUAGUGUUGCAAUCACUUUUCAUGAAUUAUUAUAAUUGUGAUUUAUAAAUUUAUUUCAACAUAAUAUAUUUACUUAUUAAUAUAAAAAUUAUAAUAAAAAGUAAGAAUUGUAAUAAAUGAUCAUAAUUUUAUGGAAGUUAAGACUAGAAAAUGUUAAAGAACUAAACUUGUUAAAAAAACAAAUUUCAUAACGAAAGCAGUUGAGUAAAAUAUGCUUCUUGGUAAUCUUACCUUCGACCUAAGCCUUACAUUACAGUCUAAUGAACCAAAUAAGGUAAUUUACAUUUCUAUAAUUCUACUACGGAACAUAAUCUAAGAUUCGACAAAUCAAACGCUCCUUAAAUUUAGUGUAAAAUAUAUUUAUCCUUCCAUGGAUUCAAAAAUGUCCAUUAAUUUUUUGGUUUAAAAAAAAUCCCAUAAAACAUCUUAUAUUUUAAAUGAAAAAUAAAUAUACUCUUGUUAUUAUUAUUUAUUUAUGUAUUUUUUAUUUCAUUUUUAAAUUUUAAUUAUAAGAUAAUAAAAUUUUAAUUACAUGUUGAAGGACUAUAAAAUUAAUUAUAUUUGACUUUUUCAUAAAUUUAAUUUAAUUUAAUUUCAAUUAAAUCAAGUAUUUCAAAUUUAUAUUUUGUUGAGUAUGCUUCAUAUUUUAGUCAAAUUUGAGAGAUAAUCUCCUAGUUAAACUCUGUUUAUUUGUUUCAAUCGAACUUUGAUUAGUUUAGAUUAUUUUAUUAUUAUUUGACCUACGAAUUUAGCAUAUAAAUAAGCUCUUUUACAACAUUAGAAGAUAUACCCAUUAAAGAUUAGAACUCAAAACACUUUUGGAGAAUUUUGUGUUUACAUUUUGAGGGUUCUUUAUUUUCGGGUUUCGGGGUUUAGGUUUUUAUCUCCAUCUUUUGUACUAUUUGUUCUUUUACCAUUAUAGUAAAAUUAUUUUUACCGGUGGUUUUUAUCAUUUUUGAAGGAGUUUUUUCAUGUUAAAUUUGUGUGUUCAAUUUCUCAAUUUCUUCUACUAUUUUUUAAUUGUUCGUUGCUUAAUUGGGUCGAUCCUCAAUAAGUGGUAUUAGAGCUAGUUCAAUUUUCGUAGAUCAGCUCGUUUGGAGAUGGAAAUAACAAUGUUUAACAUUGAGAAGUUCGAUGGGUCACAAAAUCUGUGGCAAGUUCGAAUGAUGACAAAUCUAGUUCAGACCGGCCUAAAAAAGGUCAUUACCAGAAAAAAGCCUGAGAAUCUAGAUUAGACAGAAUGGGAAACACUUGAUGAAAAUGCCCUAUUUGCAACACAGUUGUGCCUCGCGAAUAGGGUAUUGCAGGAGGUAUUGAUGGAGAAAACUUCAUCCGCCUUAUGGAAAAGGUCAAAAACUCUUUAUGCAACUAAAUUUUUGGCUAACCGUUUAGUGUUGAAACAACGUCUAUUUACGUUUCGCAUGUACGAAGGUGAGUUUCUUAGAGAUCACAUUAGUCAAUUUAUUAAUCUUUUGAAUGAUUUAAAAAAUAUUGAGGUUAAGAUUGACAAUGAGGAUUAGAUUAUGCUAUUAUUGUGUUCUUUAUCCUCUUCAUACAAGUUUUCCAGAGAGACCCUGAUUUAUGAUGGAGACAAACUCUCAUUCGAGGAUGUGAAUGGUCAUUUGUUGAGGAAAAACAAACUCGACAAUGAGUUUGGCUCGGAUCGCAAGGCAGAUAAGCAAGCUUUCAUUUUGGUAUCAUCAAAUAAGCGAGACAAAAUGUGUCGCUAUUGUAAAAAGUUAGGUCACAUCAAAGCAGAUUGUCAUAAAUUGUGAAAUAAAAGGGCUGCUGAAAGUAACGAGGAAAAUGUAGCUAGUGCUAAUUUAGCUGACGAAAGUGGUGAUGAUUUAUUGUUAGUGUCAACGAGCAAUAGCUCCAAGCUUACGUCCAACUGGAUCCUAGAUUCGGAAUGUUCUUUCCACAUGUGUCCCAACAGAUAAUGGUUCUCUCUAUACAGUUCGAUUGAAGGUGGAGUUAUGCGCAUGAGAAAUGAUUCAUCCAGUAAGGUAAUCGGUAUUAGUACUGUUAAAAUUAGGAUGCACGAUGGGACGAUUAGGACACUCUCAAACGUCAGGUAUGUAUUUGGUUUACGAAAUAAUCUCAUUUUCUUAAGUAUUUUAGACUCGAAAGGUUGCACAAUCAACAUCGAGUCGAGUGGCAUUAAGGUGUCUCAUGGGAUCUUAUUUUGUUAAAAGGUAAAAAGACCGACAGUCUUUAUAUUCUGGAAGGUUCUACAGUGACCGAUGAAACCAGACGUCCCUCGUCCGUUACAGUGUCGAAGUCAACUCGUUUGGAGCAGAGACAACUUGGUCAUAGGAGAGAAAAAUGCAUGACCGUUUCGUUGAAGAGAGGUUCUCUUUUGGAUGCAAGUUUUGAAAAGUUAGGGCACUGUGUUUGUGAAAAUCAGACCUGGGUUAGUUUUGAUUUGGCAGUGCACAAGUCGAAGGCUAGAAGUCUUCCAGCUUCUAAGCACAAAUUUGACUCAGUUAAUUCUCUGCAUAGUUCAAGAUAAGCCCAUGGCGGGAUUUGGCAAAGAUGGCAUUGUGGAAAUACGAGUCAAUGUGGAGAUUUGUUGAGUAUGCCUCAUAUUUCAAUUAAAUUUGAAAGAUAUUCUCUCAGUUAAACUUUGUUUAUUUGUUUCAGUCGAACUCUGAUUAGUUUAGAUUAUUUUAUUAUUAUUUGACCUACGAAUUUAGCAUAUAAAUAGGCUCUUUUACAAUAUUAGAAAAUACACCUAUUAAAUAUUAGAACUCAUAACACUUUUGGAGAAUUUUAUAUUUACAUUUUGAGGAUUCUUUGUUUUUUGGUUUCGGACUUUAGUUUUUUAUCUUCAUCUUUUGUACUAUUCGUUCUUUUGUCAUUAUAGUAAAAUUAUUUUUGCUCGUGAUUUUUUAUCCUCUUUGAAGGGGUUUUUCACGUUAAAUUUGUGUUUAAUUUCUCAAUUUCUUUCGCUAUUUUUUUACUUAUUCGUUGCUUAAUCAGGUCGAUCCCCAACAUAUUUUAUUUAAACUUAAAAUGAUUUAAAUUAUUUUAUGUAAAUUUUUAGUUCUAAAUUAGUUCUCCUCAUGUCAAGUGUUACCAUUAAUUGGUUGAGAUAUUAGUAAAUUGAGUUUAAUAAUAGUGUGUUUCCCAUUAGUUGUAUAUAAAUUUUUUUUAUGUAAAUUAAAUUUGUUAACAAUAAUAUAAUUAAAAUUUUAUAUUUAUCAUUUAAUCUAAUAAAUGAUUCACAUGAUAAAUUUCUCUUCUAAUUGUUAUGUUUAAUGCUUUAGUCGUAUUGUAAUAGUUGUUGAUUGAUUUUUUUUAAAAUUGCAUUUUUUUAUUGUAUAAAAAUAAAUUAAUAUAUUUUAAUUAAUCAAUACAAUCAAUUCAUACAAUGCAAGGGUAUAUAAACUAAUAUAUUAUAUACGAGGUAUACACACAUUUAUGAAUGUUUUCUUAUGUGAAUCAGGGGCGUAGUUAAAAGGGUUGAUAAUGACCCCGUCCCAUCCCCAAAAAAAAAUAGAAAAAUUUUCAUCUAGGUUUUUAAAUUUCUUUUAAAAUUUUAAAUUGAUAAAGGUAAAAUUGUAUUUUGGCCUCCUAAAAAUGAUAAAAAUUUGAUUUAAUCUUUUAAAAGUUAUAAAGAUAUAGGCUAUUCAAAUAAUAAAAUUACAUUUUUGAUAUCGUAAAAAUUAAAAUUUAAUUUUGACUCCCUCUAAAAUUUUUUUUCUACCUUUACCCUUGAUAUGGAGUAUUUCAUAUUAGGGUAAGUGACACAUUUUAUGAUUGACUAGUAAACAUUUUGACUAUAAGUAUGAUAUGAGUCCCAAUUUUUUAAUUGAUUUUUUGUUAAAAAAGAUUUUUUUAUUAAUAUAUUAUGUGAAAGUUAUUCAAUUUACACUUUUUAACUUUUACAUUUAAAAAAUUAUUCAAUGUGUAACUGUGAAUAUCAAAAUUAAAAUAAAUUUGAUAAAAACUACUUAAAAUAAAAAAAAGAGUUAAAAAUAAAUUUUGAUACUUCUUUAACAUAUAUAAAAUGUGCAAUAUUUAAAAUUUUAUUGUAUACAUGCAAUAAUCCUAUACAAUGCACGAGUAAAAAAAAUACAUAUUAUAUAUAUAUUUUUUAUUCUUAUCAUGAGUGUAUUAUAAUUUUAUAUUUUUUAUGAAAAAAAAUCAUCUAUUAGUUGGAGACGCAUAUUUUUCCACAUAUGGUACUUGAAUUGCUACCCCAAGUUUGAUGUUGUUCGAACGUGUUCCAUCAAACUCUAUGUUUUCCACACUUAGAUCUUUGAAUGUUGCUAUCUAUCUUAAAAAAAUUUAUAAAAAAAAAAAAACUAUUCAACCUCAAUAUUCCACCAAAAUUCGAACAUAAAUAAAAAAAAAUUCUAAAAUUAUACUCAAUUAAAUUACCAUCUUUUUAUUAAAUUAUGCACCUUGUUUAUUCCUCCUUCUUUUUCUGUCUUAUCUUGGAAUAUAUGUUUUAAUUUCAUUGUCGGCUAUUUUUAUGUUUUACUUGAUGAAAGAACAGAAAAAUAGGAAGAUAAAGAGAUGUGCGCCAUUUUUCUUUCUAUCGAUAUGUUCGGUAAAAGGAUGAAAAUAUUGAAAGAAUAUAAAAAGGUUAGAGUAUGAUAAAAUAUUAAAAGAAAUGGGACACACGAAAAUUUCUUAACUCUACUUACAAUUUUGUCCUUUUCUUAUUACUUAAAUUUGAAAUUAUUUAUUUUUAUGCAUUAAGAUAAAAAAUAACGAUAUUUGUUUUAUUUUUCCUCUUAUUUUUCAAUCCUAAUAAACACAUUCAAAAUGAUUUUCUUUUCAUUCUUUCAAUUUUCCUUUUUCCUUUUAUUAGGGAAGCCUCUGUAGUUAGGGAAAUUUUGCAUUUCAGUCUCUCUAUAAAAAAAUAGGUAAAUUAAUCAUUAUACAUUUCCAAACGUACAAAUUAGUCCAUCCAUUAAAUGAUGAUGUGGAAUGUUUGUAAUGGCUUAAAGAUUAAACCUUCUUAGGGUAUUAAACAAUAAGAUCUUCAAAUGAGAAAAUUUGUAAUAGUUAAGAGGAUGCGAAAAUGAAUAAUCAAAAUUUUAUAAUGAUGAUUACACACCAUCAAAAAAUACGAAAGUGAGUAUUCACUAAAGUAGAAAAAAGUAAACAUUAAAUAAUAUUUUAUGUACCUUUUAGUUGAAAGCAU